CAAACAGCUGUGGCGAACGGAACUACAAAACACUACAACAAAAGACGACGGAAAUCCACAACAUAAACAACAAAACCUGCAAUAAACUACAAAACGGAUCCCGGUUCCGGACCCAGGCGUACCCGCCCUGCCUGAGAUGACCACCUCAACGUCAUCUCCCUCAUGUUGGCCACCGAAUGGACCUACUUCAUCCUGUGUUGACCAUCGUGUUUCUCCCUCCCCCUACAGCAAUAAUUACUCGGGCAUUUUCAUCAUCAGGUAUGUGUGUAUCAA